rnacentral:rRNA from 1 species
UACGGGGGGGGCAAGCGUUGUUCGGAAUUACUGGGCGUAAAGGGCUCGUAGGCGGCCAACUAAGUCAGACGUGAAAUCCCUCGGCUUAACCGGGGAACUGCGUCUGAUACUGGAUGGCUUGAGUUUGGGAGAGGGAUGCGGAAUUCCAGGUGUAGCGGUGAAAUGCGUAGAUAUCUGGAGGAACACCGGUGGCGAAGGCGGCAUCCUGGACCGGCAUUGACGCUGAGGCGCGAAAGCGUGGGGAGCAAACAGG